rnacentral:rRNA from 1 species
AGCGCAGGCGGUUUAUUAAGUCUGAUGUGAAAGCCCACGGCUCAACCGUGGAAGGUCAUUGGAAACUGGGGAACUUGAGUGCAGAAGAGGAGAGUGGAAUUCCAUGUGUAGCGGUGAAAUGCGUAGAUAUAUGGAGGAACACCAGUGGCGAAGGCGACUCUCUGGUCUGUAACUGACGCUGAGGCUCGAAAGCGUGGGGAGCAAACA